UACGGGGGGGGCAAGCGUUGUUCGGAAUUACUGGGCGUAAAGGGCUCGUAGGCGGCCAACUAAGUCAGACGUGAAAUCCCCAGGCUCAACCUGGGAACUGCGUCUGAUACUGGAUGGCUUGAAUCCGGGAGAGGGAUGCAGAAUUCCAGGUGUAGCGGUGAAAUGCGUAGAUAUCUGGAGGAAUACCGGUGGCGAAGGCGGCAUCCUGGACCGGCAUUGACGCUGAGGUGCGAAAGCGUGGGGAGCAAACAGG
rnacentral:rRNA from 1 species